UGGGGAAUAUUGCGCAAUGGGGGAAACCCUGACACAGCGACGCCGCGUGGGUGAUGAAGGCCUUCGGGUCGUAAAGCCCUGUCGGGAGGGAAGAAACACUCCGGACCUAAUACGUCCGGGAAUUGACGGUACCUCCUAAGGAAGCACCGGCUAACUCCGUGCCAGCAGCCGCGGUAAUACGGAAGGGGCAAGCGUUGUUCGGAAUCAUUGGGCGUAAAGGGCGCGUAGGUGGUCUUGUGUGUCUAUCGUGAAAGCACACGGCUCAACCGUGUAAAGUCGGUGGAAACUGCAGGACUUGAGGUUGGGAGGGGCUGGUGGAAUUCCCUGUGUAGCGGUGAAAUGCGUAGAGAUGGGGGAGAACACUUGUGGCGAAGGCGGCCAGCUGGACCAAUCCUGACACUGAGGCGCGACAGCGUGGGGAGCAAACAGGAUUAGAUACCCAUGUAGUCCCUGAGCGGGCUGGCAAGGCGCAU
rnacentral:rRNA from 1 species